rnacentral:rRNA from 1 species
UGAGCAAUCUGCCCUUCUCAUCGGAAUAAGCGUUGGAAACGACGUCUAAUGCAGAAUACGACCUCCUUUCGCAUGAUCGGAGGUGGAAAGCUCCGGCGGAGAAGGAUGAGCUCGCGGCCUAUCAGCUAGUUGGUGUGGGUAAUGGCCCACCAAGGCGACGACGGGUAGCCGGCCUGAGAGGGUGACCCGGCCACACUGGGACUGAGACACGGCCCAGACUCCUAGGAG